CUUGCACGCUGGCGGCAUGCUUUACACAUGCAAGUCGAACGGCAGCGCGGGCUUCGGCCUGGCGGCGAGUGGCGAACGGGUGAGUAAUGCAUCGGAACGUGCCCAGUAGUGGGGGAUAGUCCGGCGAAAGACGGAUUACUACUGCAUACGACCUGAGGGUGAAAGCGGGGGACCGUAAGGCCUCGCGCUAUUGGAGCGGCCGAUGUCGGAUUAGCUAGUUGGUGGGGUAAAGGCUUACCAAGGCGACGAUCCGUAGCUGGUCUGAGAGGACGAGCAGCCACACUGGGACUGAGACACGGCACAGACUCCUACGGGAGGCAGCAGUGGCGAAUGUUGGACAAAGGGGGCAACCCUGAUCCAGCCAUGCCGCGUGCGGGAAGAAGGCCUGCGGGUGGUAAACCGCUUUUGUUCGGGAAGAAAUCCUCUGGGCUAAUACCCCGGGGGGAUGACGGUACCGGAAGAAUAAGCACCGGCGAAUUACGU
rnacentral:rRNA from 1 species